rnacentral:rRNA from 1 species
GGGUUGUGAGGUUAAGCGAACAAGCGUACACGGUGGAUGCCCUGGCAGUCAGAGGCGAUGAAGGACGUGCUAAUCUGCGAAAAGCGCCGGUAAGGUGAUAUGAACCGUUAUAACCGGCGAUGUCCGAAUGGGGAAACCCGGUGCACUUCGGUGCAUCAUCGUUAGCUGAAUACAUAGGCUAACGAGGCGAACCGGGGGAACUGAAAC